rnacentral:rRNA from 1 species
AACGAACGCUGGCGGCAUGCCUAACACAUGCAAGUCGAACGAGAUCUUCGGAUCUAGUGGCGCACGGGUGCGUAACGCGUGGGAAUCUGCCCUUGGGUUCGGAAUAACAGUUAGAAAUGACUGCUAAUACCGGAUGAUGUCUUCGGACCAAAGAUUUAUCGCCCAAGGAUGAGCCCGCGUAGGAUUAGGUAGUUGGUGGGGUAAAAGCCUACCAAGCCGACGAUCCUUAGCUGGUCUGAGAGGAUGAUCAGCCACACUGGGACUGAGACACGGCCCAGACUCCUACGGGAGGCAGCAGUGGGGAAUAUUGGACAAUGGGCGAAAGCCUGAUCCAGCAAUGCCGCGUGAGUGAUGAAGGCCUUAGGGUUGUAAAGCUCUUUUACCCGGGAUGAUAAUGACAGUACCGGGAGAAUAAGCUCCGGCUAACUUCGUGCCAGCCGCCGCAGUAACAC